UGGCUCAGAACGAACGCUGGCGGCGUGGAUUAGGCAUGCAAGUCGAACGAGAACCAGUGGUUUCAAUCCUUCGGGAGAGAAACUGUUGGGGACAGUGGCGAAAGGGUGAGUAACACGUGAGUAAUUUGCCUUCAGGUCCGGAAUAACACUCCGAAAGGAAUGCUAAUACCGGAUGUGAAGUACGGAUGGCAUCUUCUGUACUUUAAAGGUGGGGACCUUCGGGCCUGCCGCUUGAAGAGAAGCUCGCGGUCUAUUAGCUAGUUGGUAGGGUAAUGGCCUACCAAGGCGAUGAUGGAUAGCCGUCCUGAGAGGGUGAUCGGCCACACUGGGACUGAGACACUGCCCAGACUCCUACGGGAGGCUGCAGUCGAGAAUCUUUCGCAAUGGGCGAAAGCCUGACGAAGCGACGCCGCGUAAGGGAUGACGGCCUUCGGGUUGUAAACCUUUGUCACAUGGGACGAAAUGCACCGGUAUUAACACCAUCGGUGUUUGACGGUACCAUGAGAGGAAGCCCCGGCUAAUUUCGUGCCAGCAGCCGCGGUAAUACGAAAGGGGCAAGCGUUGUUCGGAAUCAUUGGGCGUAAAGGGCGUCUAGGUGGCGCAUUAAGUUAGAUGUGAAAGGCUUCAGCUCAACUGAAGAAUUGCAUCUAAUACUGAUGUGCUUGAGUCCAGGAGAAGAGAGCGGAAUUCUCAGUGUAGCGGUGAAAUGCGUAGAUCUUGAGAAGAACACCAGUGGCGAAGGCGGCUCUCUAGCCUGAGACUGACACUGAAGCGCGAAAGCCAGGGGAGCGAACAGGAUUAGAUACCCUGGUAG
rnacentral:rRNA from 1 species